CCUACGGGGGGCUGCAGUGGGGAAUAUUGGACAAUGGGGGGAACCCUGAUCCAGCCAUGCCGCGUGUGUGAAGAAGGCCCUCGGGUUGUAAAGCACUUUCAGUGAGGAAGAACGCCUGGUGGUUAAUACCCAUCAGGAAAGACAUCACUCACAGAAGUAGCACCGGCUAACUCCGUGCCAGCAGCCGCGGUAAUACGGAGGGUGCGAGCGUUAAUCGGAAUUACUGGGCGUAAAGCGCGCGUAGGUGGCUUGAUAAGCCGGUUGUGAAAGCCCCGGGCUCAACCUGGGAACGGCAUCCGGAACUGUCAAGCUAGAGUGCAGGAGAGGAAGGUAGAAUUCCCGGUGUAGCGGUGAAAUGCGUAGAGAUCGGGAGGAAUACCAGUGGCGAAGGCGGCCUUCUGGACUGACACUGACACUGAGGUGCGAAAGCGUGGGUAGCAAACAGGAUUAGAUACCCUGGAAGUC
rnacentral:rRNA from 1 species